rnacentral:lncRNA from 14 species
GGACAAUUCCCCACCCGGGAGACUUCUUGGCCAGAAGCUAGAGAGCAUAUCAUACUUCCUUUUAAGGUGGCCAGGGGAACACAGUGGAUACCAGUCCACUCGAGCUCCAAGCCAGUCUGAACUACAUGGUGGAACUGUCUUAACUUGAAGAAGAG